UUAGAUUACAAUCAAUCAUGAUAAUAUUUUAUGGGUGAAUUCAUGAAAUUGUGGCUAAAUUAAUUCGAUUACUAAAACUUUGAGAUUUGGAUUCAUCAAUUGUGGGAAAAUACAGGUGAAGCUGAUGAAGGUAAGAGAAUAGUUGAAAAAAUAAUUGAUUAAAAAUGUAUGUUUAUUUUAAAGAUUCUCCAACGAAUAAAUUUUAAUUUUCUCCCAAAAUUCUCCCCUUUGCCCUCUCUCUAGAGUUUCCUUUUUCUCUCUUCUCCAG
rnacentral:lncRNA from 1 species